CCUACGGGGGGCUGCAGUCGAGAAUCUUCGGCAAUGAGCGCAAGCUUGACCGAGCGACGCCGCGUGCGGGAUGAAGGCCUUCGGGUUGUAAACCGCUUUGGUCCGAAAGAAAGGGUAAAACUUGAUCGAUCGGAGAAACAAGGACGGGCUAAGUUCGUGCCAGCAGCCGCGGUAAGACGAACCGUCCAAACGUUAUUCGGAAUCACUGGGCUUAAAGGGCGCGUAGGCGGCCGAGCGGGUCACGGGUGAAAUCCUCCAGCUUAACUGGAGAACUGCCCUUGAUACCACUGCGGCUCGAGGAAGGAAGGGGCAAUCGGAACUGUCGGUGGAGCGGUGAAAUGCGUUGAUAUCGACAGGAACGCCGGUGGCGAAAGCGGAUUGCUGGUCCUUUUCUGACGCUGAGGCGCGAAAGCCAGGGGAGCAAACGGGAUUAGAUACCCUAGUAGUC
rnacentral:rRNA from 1 species